rnacentral:ncRNA from 1 species
GAAGACCCUGUUGAGCUUGACUCUAGUUUGACAUUGUGAAAAGACAUAGGAGGUGUAGAAUAGGUGGGAGCUUCGGCGCCGGUGAAAUACCUGGAAUGAGUACAAUUUAAAUCCCUUAACGAGGAACAAUUGGAGGGCAAGUCUGGUGCCAGCAGCCGCGGUAAUUCCAGCUCCAAUAGCGUAUAUUAAAGUUGUUGUGGUUAAAAAGCUCGUAGUUGAACCUUGGGCCUGGCUGGCCGGUCCGCCUCACCGCGUGCACUGGUCCGGCCGGGCCUUUCCCUCUGUGGAACCCCAUGCCCUUCACUGGGUGUGGCGGGGGAACAGGACUUUUACUUUGAAAAAAUUAGAGUGCUCCAGGCAGGCCUAUGCUCGAAUACAUUAGCAUGGAAUAAUGAAAUAGGACGUGCGGUUCUAUUUUGUUGGUUUCUAGGACCGCCGUAAUGAUUAAUAGGGACAGUCGGGGGCAUCAGUAUUCAAUUGUCAGAGGUGAAAUUCUUGGAUUUAUUGAAGACUAACUACUGCGAAAGCAUUUGCCAAGGAUGUUUUCAUUAAUCAGGAACGAAAGUUAGGGGAUCGAAGACGAUCAGAUACCGUCGUAGUCUUAACCAUAAACUAUGCCGACUAGGGAUCGGACGAUGUUAUUUUUUGACUCGUUCGGCACCUUACGAGAAAUCAAAGUGCUUGGGCUCCAGGGGGAGUAUGGUCGCAAGGCUGAAACUUAAAGAAAUUGACGGAAGGGCACCACCAGGGGUAAACCUGACCUGUGAAGCCGCAGUCAACUCUGCUCCAGAAAGCCGCCCGAAAGGGUCGGUGGUGUUCCUAGGGGAGAGCUCUCCCCUAAACUAAUGGCUAGUCCUGCCGCCCGCGGCAGGGCGACACCCUCAAACUGACGGGGAACUCCUAAAGCCCUCGCUCCGGACAGGCGUCGCGGUGCUCUAUCUAAGGCAACCCUAGGAUAAUAUCGCGGGUAAGGCCCGGGACGACGUAUAGCAUCACGGCUGACGGCUAUCCAUCGAUAUCGAUAUCGAUACGGACGGCGUAGGCAAUCCGCAGCCAAGCCCCUACGGUGCGGCCUCUACGGGGGUCGCAUACGGGGAAGGUUCAGAGACUUGACGGGGGUGGGUGGCGCGGGCUCUUGGGG